rnacentral:misc_RNA from 1 species
AAGUCGUAACAAGGUUUCCGUAGGUGAACCUGCGGAAGGAUCAUUAAUGAGCGAGGGUCCUCCGGGGCCCGACCUCCCACCCUUUGAUGUUGAACAAACCUGUUGCUUUGGCGGGACGGUCUCCGGACCGCCGGUCUUCGGAUCGGUCAGCGCCCGCCAGAGGACCAACCAAACACUAUUUUAAUCGUCAGUCGGAGUAAACAUUUUAAUAAAUUAAAACUUUCAACAACGGAUCUCUUGGUUCUG